AGCUCGUAGUUGAACGUUCGGGUUCCGCGGGACGGGGCCGCCCCGCGAGGGACGGCGCCGCCCCGGGGCUCGUGAUAUCUUAUCGUCGCCGCCCGUCGCGAGGCGGACGGAGGGAUGGAUGAGGUUACCUGGAAAAAAUCGGGGCGAUCUAGGCGGGCGAACCUCGCCAACGAACGAUCGGACAUGGGAUAACGGAAGAGGGCGUCGGCUCGACUUCGUCGGUUCCUCGGGCCGAGGCACGUACGGUGAAUAGGGGACGGUCGGGGCCGCCCGUACCGGGGUCGUGAGAGGUGAAAUUCUAGGAUCGACCCGAGACGAACUGCCGCGAAAGCAUUCGGCAAGGACGCUUUCAUUAAUCAAGAACGAAAGUCGGGGGAUCGAAGACGAUCAGAUACCGUCGUAGUCCCGACCGUAAACGAUGCCGACCGAGGGCCCCGGAGGAGUUACGUACGACCCU
rnacentral:rRNA from 1 species